CUGAUGGCUGUUAGGUCACUGAAGGGAAAAAUUAGUGAUGGCCAGAUCUGGGAAUCUUUCACUUAUUUGUUUCACACCGGCUAUCGUUACAGCAGCUGUAACGUAAUUGUCAACCUCUGUUGUUAGUCUUUAUAGCAUUGUCUGGUUCUUGUAAUACUCAAUGUUGGGAUCCAUGGCUGUAAGAGCCAGACUAUAGACAGGUUGGUUUUCGGACAUUCUGUAUUUUUCUUUGAAGAGCCACGGACAUGAGGGAUAUCGAUUACGAAGGGAAAAUAAUUAAUUCUACUUCUACAAGAAGUAUGAUUUGAUUACAAACAUACUUUUAACUGAAACUUUCGGAUCUCUAUUAUUUAAAUCCAAUCAGCCAUUUCAUUGCCAAAUAUUUCAUCUGUCUCGUUCUCAUUUCAACAGAUUCUGCAAUGUAUCAAAAAUAAAGCGAGCAAAACUGAGGAUGGAAAAGAGCUCAACUAGUGAAGGAGGUGAUGGCACAGGAGAUGUGGUAAUCCCCCGCAAGAGAAGACGCACAGGAGAGAAAGAGCAAAGGACCAGGCAUGCUCUACCAGUGGAGUGCAUCAUAUGCAAGAAGAGCAAAUGGAUCCAGCCGCCAUAUGGACCGCGGAAAAAAGAGCCACUCACAAAGUGUGAAUAUGAAAAAGGUGGACAACUUCUCAAGGCUGCUUAACUACUCAAUGAUGAAUCCAUCCUUCUUGAUAUUUAAGGUCAAGACAUGGUGGCAAUCGAAGUCCGGUAUCACAGAUCAUGCCACAAGAAUUACAUCAAGGCGACUUGCCGUGUACAGACUUGUGUCGUUGCAGUGAUUGUGAGAACACCACUACUGAAGACAUCGAAUGCCUGUCCAGCGAUGACGAAGAAAGUGACAUUGAAGACGAUGAAUAGACACAGGGACUUAUCGUAGUACGGAAAAGUUUACAUACCAGUAUUCAUCAUCAGCCAUAUUUAUGUGUUUGCUCAUUCUACAUGUACUUGUAAAUAUGCAUAGCUUUUUUUUUGGCAUGGUGUAGACAGCAGAAACGUGAUUUGCCAUCAUGUCUUUCAGGAAGAAUAUUUCUUUGGUUUGUUUUUUACAGCAAAUUUCCAGUUUCCAACAGUAUAUUUUUAGGCUUAUGACAAUUCCUCAUCUACAAAUAGUUCUUCCAGCUCCACCUUCUGUUGACCCAAGUUGAUGCUUGAGACGAG